rnacentral:rRNA from 2 species
UUAAACUAGGGAUUAGAUACCCUAUUAUUAAAAUUUAAAUUAGUAAUACUAAAAUAGUAAAUAAUUAUUUAUUGAAACUUAAAUAAUUUGGCGGUAUUUUAGUUCAUUUAGAGGAAUCUGUUUAAUAAUUGAUAAUCCACGAAUAAAUUUACUUAAUUUUUUAUUUUGUAUAUCGUUGUUAAAAAAAUAUUUUUCAAUAAUAAUAAUAUUUAAAAAUUUUAAUUAAAAAUUAAAUCAGAUCAAGAUGCAGAUUAUAAUUAAGAAUAUAAUGGAUUACAAUAAAUUUAUUUAAAUGAAUAUUAAUUUGUAAAAUUUAAUUGAAGGUGGAUUUAAAUGUAA